rnacentral:tRNA from 1 species
GGCCGGUUAGCUCAGUUGGUUAGAGCGUCGCGCUAAUAACGCGAAUGUCGUGGGUUCGAUCCCCAUACUGGCCA